rnacentral:rRNA from 1 species
CCCCUGUUUAAGCAUGUAGGAGGAGUUGCCAGGCAAAUCCGGCAGCUCUUAACUCCGAGGUGUGAUGACGAGGCUCCACGCGAGCCGAAGUGAAUAACGCCCCGCUUCCAGGAAAAGCCUCUAAGCUUCAGAUCACAUUGGACCGUACCGUAAACCGACACUGGUGGGUGAGCAGAUAAUCUGCCAAGGCGCUUGAGAGAACUCGGGUUAAGGAACUCUGCAAAUUGAUACCGUAACUUCGGAAGGUAUGCCUUCGACGGUGUAGGGAUUUACUCCCGAAGCUGUUGAAGGUCGCAGGUAAUCGGUGGCUGCGACUGUUUAUCAAAAACACAGGACUCUGCGAACACGCAAGUGGAAGUAUAGGGUCUGACGCCUGCCCGGUGCCGGAAGGUUAAUUGAUGGGGUUAGCCGCUAGGCGAAGCUCUUGAUCGAAGCCCCGGUAAACGGCGGCCGUAACGAUAACGGUCCUAAGGUAGCGAAAUUCCUUGUCGGGUAAGUUCCGACCUGCACGAAUGGCGUAACGCUGGCCACACUGUCUCGACCCGAGACUCAGUGAAGUUGAAAUCGCUGUGAAGAUGCGGCGUUCCCGCGGCAAGACGGAAAGACCCCGUGAACCUUCACUACAGCUUUACACUGAACUUUGAACCUUUCUGCGUAGGAUAGGUGGUAGGCUAUGAAACUUGGGCGCUAGCUCGAGUGCAGCCAACCUUGAAAUACCACCCUGGGAUGUUUGAAGUUCUAACCUUGGUCCGUAAUCCGGAUUGGGGACAGUGUAUGGUGGGUAGUUUGACUGGGCGGUCUCCUCCCAAAGAGUAACGGAGGAGUGCAAUGGUACGCUCAGCGCGGUCGGUCAUCGCGCUCUAGAGUGCAAAGGCAUAAGCGUGCUUAACUGUGAGACAGACACGUCGAACAGGUACGAAAGUAGGUCUUAGUGAUCCGGUGGUUCUGUAUGGAAGGGCCAUCGCUCAACGGAUAAAAGGUACUCCGGGGAUAACAGGCUUAUUCCUCCCAAGAGUCCACAUCGACGGAGGAGUUUGGCACCUCGAUGUCGGCUCAUCACAUCCUGGGGCUGUAGCAGGUCCCAAGGGUAUGGCUGUUCGCCAUUUAAAGUGGUACGCGAGCUGGGUUCAGAACGUCGUGAGACAGUUCGGUCCCUAUCUGCCGUGGGCGUUGGAAACUUGAGGGUGAGCUGUCCUUAGUACGAGAGGACCGGGAUGGACGUAUCUCUGGUGUUCCGGUUGUCACGCCAGUGGCACUGCCGGGUAGCUAUAUACGGACGGGAUAAGCGCUGAAAGCAUCUAAGCGCGAAGCCCCCCCCAAGAUUAGGUUUCCCUGGGAACUCGAUUCCCCUAAAGGGCCGUCGGAGACUACGACGUUGAUAGGCUGGGUGUGUAAGUGCAGCAAUGCAUUGAGCUAACCAGUACUAAUUGCCCGUGAGGCUUGACCAG